rnacentral:rRNA from 1 species
AGAGUUUGAUCCUGGCUCAGGAUGAACGCUGGCGGCGUGCCUAAUACAUGCAAGUCGAGCGAACGGACGAGAAGCUUGCUUCUCUGAUGUUAGCGGCGGACGGGUGAGUAACACGUGGAUAACCUACCUAUAAGACUGGGAUAACUUCGGGAAACCGGAGCUAAUACCAGAUAAUAUUUUGAACCGCAUGGUUCAAAAGUGAAAGACGGUCUUGCUGUCACUUAUAGAUGGAUCCGCGCUGCAUUAGCUAGUUGGUAAGGUAACGGCUUACCAAGGCAACGAUGCAUAGCCGACCUGAGAGGGUGAUCGGCCACACUGGAACUGAGACACGGUCCAGACUCCUACGGGAGGCAGCAGUAGGGAAUCUUCCGCAAUGGGCGAAAGCCUGACGGAGCAACGCCGCGUGAGUGAUGAAAGUCUUCGGAUCGUAAAACUCUGUUAUUAGGGAAGAACAUAUGUGUAAGUAACUGUGCACAUCUUGACGGUACCUAAUCAGAAAGCCACGGCUAACUACGUGCCAGCAGCCGCGGUAAUACGUAGGUGGCAAGCGUUAUCCGGAAUUAUUGGGCGUAAAGCGCGCGUAGGCGGUUUUUUAAGUCUGAUGUGAAAGCCCACGGCUCAACCGUGGAGGGUCAUUGGAAACUGGAAAACUUGAGUGCAGAAGAGGAAAGUGGAAUUCCAUGUGUAGCGGUGAAAUGCGCAGAGAUAUGGAGGAACACCAGUGGCGAAGGCGACUUUCUGGUCUGUAACUGACGCUGAUGUGCGAAAGCGUGGGGAUCAAACAG